GUUUCAGGUGAAUGGUGUUUUACCUCUGUUGCCCCUGACUUUCCCCGUUCUCUGGGUUCUGGUCUGCCUGUUCGGAGAGGCCAGUGUUCUCUUACAGAUGGGCACACAGCCAGUGGAGUGCUGGGAAAUGUGGAAGCCGACCUGCAAGAAAUGUUCCUUAGUGUUUUGGGGUCAAACGUUGACACUACUUCCAGUCUGCUGCACGGUCUGAGAUCUGUGACUGCUUCUCUCCACCUCCGCGAAUUAGCCUUUCGAGCAGCAGAUGAGUGUGGUUGCCUACACCCUGCCCUCCAUCUCCUGCCCUGGAGACCCGGGGAUUAUUGCUCCACCUUCUGUGUCAAUGAGACGUCUUCCUUUCCCACAUCUCAAUGCACUGCUGGUCCAUCACACUCACACUGGAGAGCACACACACACGUACUAAACAUACUUGUGUUUGACCUGUGGAACUGCAACAUGUACAAGCCAACAAUUACUAUAUAGAGAACAGGAUGUUAGAUUAUCAUGCAUAGAAUAUCAUGCAUUGUACGUUGUUUGCAUUUGCCUUUAUAUUUAUUACAGUUCGAUAUUAAGCAGUUCAUAAGUCAUGAACUUAUUUCUGUUAAUAGUCAGGGAUACUCUUUUAAAGUUUAUUUGGUAUUCAUUCAGUGUACAUAUCUAGUAUUUUAUUUAGAGGUCACAAUUUACAACAAGGUUUAAUUGGUUCAUGUUAAAUAGUUAAUAUAUUUCUAACAAGAAUGAACAAAACUUGUACAGCAUUCAUUAAUCUGAGCCACAUGAGUUUUGCUAGCUGGGUAGGGCUACAUUUUCAGUAUGAGCCUGUCUUGCAAUUGAGCACCUUUAGCUUAGCUUAAUUUAGCAUAGCAUAGCAUAGCAUAAUUCCUGUAUAUUGAGUUUAGGUGAGAUUCAAUGUCAUUCGUGUCCCAAGGAAAUGUUCUCAUAUGGCUCAGCUGACAUAAUAUUAGGGGCACGCACUGAAUUCUGAGAUGGAGAAGAUAUUCAGCCUCUCACAGACUCUGACAGGUCUCUUUUUCCUGAAAUGCAUGUGUGUGAGUAUUGGAGCACUUGUGACUUGCUGUGAGCACAGCUCUUUCAGCGCUGUUCCCCUCUGAACGCUCUUAUCUAGAAUACAUUGACUGCUGGCACGUUCCCUUGGAGCAUCCAGGGUUAAGUGGUUUGCUCAAGGACACAGAGGCAUAAGGAAGUCCUGCUAAAUUUUUUGCUAUUAAAACACUUCUUUGGGCAGUCUGAAUCAUCAGCUUUCAGAAAACAAGCCUAAAUCUUAGACCUCAAAGGUACAUUCACACUGACAGCCAUUAAAAGCCUGCAGUUCACCAAGUCAGUGCCAGCAGGGCUUUCUAUUUGAAUGCAGUUCACUGCUUGUUGCAUUGCAUCACUGCUCAUUUACAUAAAGCUGCUUUAUUGUAGUAUUGCUCACAUUUGGAUUUGCAACCUCUUUGUUAGAUGAAAAGAAACAAAUGUAAAUAAAAAAAUAAUUCUUAAUAUCUAAUACUAUGUUUUAAUUUAAUAAAAAUGUUAUAUUUAAUUCAUGUAUGUAAAGAGUCGGCGACAAGAGAGGUAAGUAUCCACAUGCAGCUUUAUUAAACAGAUCCCAGGUAGGGAUGGCUGACGUGAAACUGACAUUUCGACACAGUGUUUUGAAACACUGCACCGAAGCAUAAUCUGAAAUACGCAGGUCACGUGACCAAAGUGUUUAGAAAACUAAAGCAUACAAAUAACUCAAAGUGUAGUCAGAAAAGCAGGCGAAUGGUCAGGACAAGCAGCAAAACAACACAGAACAAUAAACAAAGCAAAGGAGAAAAACCACGAAAGGCAGGACAAGGAAACGCUCUGAAAAGGUCUCUACAGAUAAACAAGACUCAGAAAUGUGUGUGUGAGUGAGGCGUAUUUAUAGUCCUGCUUAUAAGUCAUCACAAGCUUCAGCUGUGUGUUUGCAAUCCCAGUUGUGAGAGCAACAAUAAAAACUUGACUUCAAGUUGAUCAUUUGGAAAAGUGAAGGUCGAUUUUUCCAAUGAAUCAUCUGUUGAACUGCAUCCCCAUCAUCACACAUACUGUCACAAUCAGACCCCUUCCUGUGUUUGUUUUCCUCAUGUGACCUUCACCAUGUGCUCCUUUGUUCCAGUUCCCGCCACUAGUUAUGUUCAUCUGUUCCACCUGUGUUCAUCCUCCUGUACUCAAUCAUUGUCAUUACCCUCAUGUUUAUUUAAGUCCUUGUAUUCAGUUCCUCUAUUGUCUGGUAGUCUGGUAUGAUGUCUGUCUUCACUCCAUGUUCUUCCUGUGUUCAUCUCUAUAAAUCUUGUA